UUAAAUUAUUUAAAUUUUAAAUUUAAAUUGAAAUAUAAUAAUUGGGGCAAUAUAAUUAUUUUUUAUUUAUAACCUCCUUAUUCCACUUACUCCAACCAAACACUAUUUUACUUAUACCUAUUUGGAAUAAAUCCAAUUCUCAACCAAACAUAAAAUUAUUCUAACUCCACCUUAACCCUGAACAUAACCCUACUAACUAGUUUUUACUUAACCCCGAACCAAGCCUUAGAAUGUGUGACCUCUUAUAAUCUCAAUUGGAACCACCUUUCUAUCGAAUGUGGAACUAUUAAAAUAUUACAGCAAUUAAUCAUAAAAAAUUAAAAAAAGGAAAAGCAAUGAUGCCAACGAAAAAUAAGGGCGUGUUUGGUUUGAAGUCGAAGUCGGAAUCAGAAUCGGAAUCAAAAUAAGCUGGAAUCGAAAUCGAAAUCGGAAUCGGAAUCGGAAUGACUCAUUACCUAAUUCUGUUUGGUUCAUUACCUGAAUCGGAAUCGGAAUAAAUCAUUUCCAUUGUCGGUGUUUGGUUCAGAUGGAUAUAAAAACGUAAUCAAAUUAAUACACUAACAUUAUCUUUAUAAUAUAUUAAUUUAAAUUUAAAUUAAAUAUUAAAUAUUAAAAAUUUACAUCAAAAUUUUGAAAUAAUGUCAAAAUUUUAAAUCUAUUUUUUUUAAAAGAAAUUAAACUUUGAAGUUGAGUGGAUAAUUCAAAAUAUAAAACUAAAUUUUGAUUUAUUCAAAUUCAAACUUGAAAUAAAAUUUGAAUAAACUUUAUAUAAAUUAAAAUUUAAUUUAAAUUCAAAUUCAUAAGUUAGAUUCGAAAUAUUUGAUUAAAUUUUAAUUUUUAAUUUAAGUUCAAAUUAAAAUUUUAAAUUAUAUAUUUAAUUUUUAAAUUUUAACUCAUAUUUUAAUUAAAAAAGUUGAAAAAAUAAAUUUAAUCCGAAUAAAUAUCCAUUCCGUCCGGAUUCAACUUCCAAUCCGGCCUUCUAGGCCGGAUUGAAAAAAGGAGUGAUUGAGCGAUUUCCAUUCCACUCGGGAAUCGGAAUCGGAAUGGGACUCUCACAUACCAAACACCCACAUACCAAACACCCACAGACGGGUUCACUCAUUCUAAUUCCGAUUUCAUGGUGAAAAAGAAGCGAACCAAAUACGCCCUAAGAGUCAAAGUUUUCAAUUUCCUUGAAACAAUA
rnacentral:lncRNA from 1 species